rnacentral:rRNA from 1 species
GAUGAACGCUGGCGGCGUGCCUAAUACAUGCAAGUCGAGCGAACAGACGAGGAGCUUGCUCCUCUGACGUUAGCGGCGGACGGGUGAGUAACACGUGGAUAACCUACCUAUAAGACUGGGAUAACUUCGGGAGACCGGAGCUAAUACCGGAUAAUAUAUUGAACCGCAUGGUUCAAUAGUGAAAGACGGUUUUGCUGUCACUUAUAGAUGGAUCCGCGCCGCAUUAGCUAGUUGGUAAGGUAACGGCUUACCAAGGCAACGAUGCGUAGCCGACCUGAGAGGGUGAUCGGCCACACUGGAACUGAGACACGGUCCAGACUCCUACGGGAGGCAGCAGUAGGGAAUCUUCCGCAAUGGGCGAAAGCCUGACGGAGCAACGCCGCGUGAGUGAUGAAGGUCUUCGGAUCGUAAAACUCUGUUAUUAGGGAAGAACAAAUGUGUAAGUAACUAUGCACGUCUUGACAGUACCUAAUCAGAAAGCCACGGCUAACUACGUG